GUCCAGACUCCUACGGGAGGCAGCAGUGGGGAAUAUUGCACAAUGGGGGAAACCCUGAUGCAGCGACGCCGCGUGAGUGAAGAAGUAUUUCGGUAUGUAAAGCUCUAUCAGCAGGAAAGAAAAUGACGGUACCUGACUAAGAAGCCCCGGCUAACUACGUGCCAGCAGCCGCGGUAAUACGUAGGGGGCAAGCGUUAUCCGGAUUUACUGGGUGUAAAGGGAGCGUAGACGGUGAAGCAAGUCUGAAGUGAAAGGCGGGGGCUCAACCCCCGGACUGCUUUGGAAACUGUUUGACUGGAGUGCAGGAGAGGUAAGUGGAAUUCCUAGUGUAGCGGUGAAAUGCGUAGAUAUUAGGAGGAACACCAGUGGCGAAGGCGGCUUACUGGACCGAAACUGACGUUGAGGCUCGAAAGCGUGGGGAGCAAACAGGAUUAGAUACCCGAGUAG
rnacentral:rRNA from 1 species